rnacentral:lncRNA from 1 species
GAAAUUGCAUUUCAUUUUGCAAUAAAAGUAUUUAUGAUUUAAUUGGUUUUAUUUAUAAUUCCAAUUAUUUAAGAAAAUCGAGUAAGGAUAUUGUUGGUGUCCUUAACUCAAGAAUUUAGUUUUCAAUUAUUUAUUUACUAAAUUUUGAAAACCCGGCUAAGUGAAUCAUAGAAUGUUAAGCACUACACCAUGACUUAAGAUUAGAUUCAAGGAGACCUAUUGAGAAUAGAUUUCUUGUAGGCUUUGAGCAUCAGAAGGAUUAGCACUGCUAUUCCGAUUCAGAGAUAAGGUUAAACGACAGGCUUUGCCUAUACAGGUGGGCUUACUUUCCAAAUGUAUAAAGUAUGAUUGAGUUAUUAAGCUCUAAAUGUUUCAAUG